ACAGCACAGUGUGCUUUGUUAUAUCUGCAUCGGCGAAGCAGAUAAUCUCAGCCUCUCUUCAUCUGGAAAAGGUGCAGAGGAAGAGCGCUAGGAGACAGUGUUGUAGUUAGGGAUUAUUGUGGAGUUCUCAGGGUACAAGACAACAGUCAGGACAACUGCCCCUCCUCGUCAUCCCAGCCUGUCCUUCUCAAAGACCCCGUACAGAGCCACUGCAGCACUCUAGUUGUGUGAGUGUGAUUUGCCCAUUACUUUGAGAUUUCUAAAAAUCCAGGCUCCAUCCACUGAAGAAUUCAAAGGAUCACUGAUGGAGGAAUGAUGGCAGUAGAAUCACCUGCAUGCAUCAGCUGCGUGGAAACACCCAAGUGUGUACAGGGAUAUCAAACCAAGUCCUAUGCACGUUCGAGGUAAUACAUGAGCAGGAUCUGCUCCCAGUCCUGAACCUCUUUGAACGGUGACCAUACAAUUUUUUUUCACCUAAGCUCUGGGAGAAGAUCCCUGCUCAGCCAAGUUGGCUUUCUGCCCCACCUGCAUGACUUUGGACGUUAUGGAAUUGCUUGGUAAGAAGUGGUACUUUAAAAGUGACCAGCACUGGUGGACUCCAAUGCCUUCAGAAGCAGUUUUCCUAGGGAACUUACCAAAUAGUUCCCCGAGCAGCAUGAAGUCUGAUUUCCCCAUAUCCAAUGUUACUGUGGCUCUUUUUCUCCUAUCACCAAGGACUAUAUGUUCACCAAUCUCAUGGUCACUAUAGCCAAGACAGCCUCCACGCACCAUUUCACCCACGAGACCUUCUCUGCUUACAAGCAACAAAUCUAUGAGGCACCUUUCCUAGUUGACUCCCUUGGUAUCUGUAGCAAGAAGUACUACCAAAGACAUAAAAAUAUUUGUCUCUCUGGAAGAUCUCAGUCUUAUCCAUGAAAUCUCCCUCUUUUUUCUACUGGUCUGAAGCACACACUGAUAUUGAACAUUUCAGGAACUCCUCCAACCUUUGUGAAACAGUUGAAUUUACUAUGUGCAGAUUAUAAAUGACAUCAAUUUUGAAGGGUCAAGGUAUGAAAUAUGAUGUUGUUGCAAUACAUUUACUGUACCCACUAACUCUCACCAUCUGUACAUCACAGACAUCACUGAACUAGCACAUUUUCUCUGAAAAAAAAGAAGAAAGAUCUUCAAAAUACAGUAUUUUCUCAGAAUCUUGCAAGCUUUAGAAGUUUAUUCUCUUUCCAAGGAACAGUUACAAAAGAGGUAAGAUUUAAGGCCACAUCAGAGCUGGGUAAAUAACUUUUUGUGUAUAUGAACUCUGAGGGCACUGAAACUUGGGAACUUGGGGUAAUAUCCACUCAUAAAUUCAACCAGAAACAGAGAGUGGUGCAAAUAUAAAAAGCCACAAUAUUUAAGUUCCGUGUUGUCAUUUUCAAUGAAAUUACUUAAUUUGAAAGCACUGGAUAUUUUGCUACGAUAUCUUUUAAACAAAACAUUUGAAAUCAUGUUUUUAAAUACCACUCUUAACUACUGCUUGUUUAUCGUAAUAAAUUAAUCAAAACGUCUUUGAAAGGUUCCAAUAUGUACUUCCCCAAAUCCUCGGACUGUAUUUUUUCUCCUCUAAACAAAAAUCAUUGUUCUUCAGAUGACUUUCUCAUGGUGUGUAAUAUGCCGGGCUGCUGCUUGCACUACAGUUGGAUUUACUUUUUAGAACAUUUUCUGAAAUAUGCUUUAAAGAUAAUUCAUUUGACCUAAAUAUUAUCUAAAUCCCUGAGCCUGUUGCCUCCUAUUGGCCAGCCCAAGGCCCUCAGAGACAUCAAAAUCUUAACUGGAGAUUAACUUGUUUGAAGGUGGUCCUAGAUUUAUUGCAAUUCAUUACAUUGACCUAUAGAGUAUAUAUAGCAACUAAUACAGUACUUGACAUAUGUUUUUUUCUUGAUUGUUCGUACGGUUCAUUUGCACCUUUGCUAAGUGAAUAGGAAUAUUUAGAAGAAUAUUUUCUGAGACUGUUUAUUGAACCAUGAUUCUGGGGAAUUUUAUAUCAUGAGAACACAUUUCUCACGUCAUACUGAGAGGCAUGACAAUGAUGCUAUUAUAAAGAGGAAUGGAACAUAUCCAAGUUAUAUAUUCAGCAAAUACUACAGAAUGUCUGUUUGGUUUGUUUUGUUUUGUUUUUGUGGUGUUGUGUUGUGCUUGUUUGCAAGCUUGGACAUACCAGUAGCUCUGUGAGAACUUACGUUUCCUUCUAUCAGAGAGUGACUUCUUGCUUUAUGACUUCUUGCAAGCUAAGAGAUAGUAAAGUGCAGCCUCUGUGCCAACUGCACCACUUUUCUUCCACAACAUCCAGAGAAGACAUGCCUGUACUACCACAGGCUGCCAUGAGUCAAGUUUUAGUUGCUGUAGUUCCUCUAGCUAACAUGUAUAAUAUGUUCUCACAAUGUAAUUACCAAGCUCUGUCUUGCUAAGGUAGAGAAAUGUCAGUGUUUUUUGUGUAGCGUUGGAAAGAUCUGGGAAGAGAUAUUCUUCUUCCUGCUGAGCUUCUACAUAAAAAAAAAAAACAUCACCACACUGUAAUUCAGGGUGAUGCAAUAUAAUGUGCCAUAACUUCACCAAAAUGUUAGUCAAGGAAGUAACCUCAAAGUGACGUAAUUCACUUUCGGAUAUUUAUUUCAGUGUAUAAUUUCUGUUCUUAUUUGUAGAAAUGAAUAUGAGCCCAUAUCUCACUUCAGGUAUCCAAGAUGACAUGUUCCUUAACAUUCCUUCCAAGCCCAUAGCCAGUGAUCCUCACACAAAGACUGACCCAUAAAUAAACCAUUUUUUAUUUCCAUCCCUUCUUUCAGCUUCUGCAAAGUAAGGAAAGUAGAAGAAGUACUAUCCACCAAAUUCUGAAGGACAGAACAGUCCAGUAUCAAGGUCAGGAGCAAUUUCUAUAGUUGAUGAAAGCACGUAAGAAACAAUUUUCCUCCAGUCCCAGAAUUCACAUAUCUGCAUAUUUGUAUCUUGCACAUAUGCAAGAAAAAUCCCUUUGACUUUUACAAGUUUUGCUUGAAUAAAAGUGAAGAAACAAAUAUUUGUCCUCUCAGACUUAUCUGCUCCAUUUUUGCUACAUGCCCUGAGAACACAUGGCAAACCAUUAUAAAGAGAAAAUAACUAUCUUCCCAUAGUACAAAAUGAUGCACUUAGGUGGUGGGAUUUGGCACACGGGAAUUUCAACCCGAUGUAUCUCAUCUCCUCUCUGACAGAGGCCUCAUCACAGCAGCACCACUCUCACUGCUUGCAGAAAUUCUCCAAAAUGCAUCAGUAUGGUGUUUAUCCUCACAGAGUGCUUAGGAUGGAGACACAUGAAUGGCUUACAUGAGGCAGGUGUCCUCGGUACAGAGAGACAUGGACUUGUUGGAUCCUGUCCUGAGGAGGGCCACAGAAACAAUCCAAGGGGUGGAAUAUCUCUCCUAUGAGGACAAGCUGGGUGAGCUGGGGCUGUUCAGCUUGGAGAAGAGAAGGCUCCAGGGGGAGCUGAGAGUGGCCCUUCAAGUAUCUAAAGGGGGGCUAUAAGAAGAAAGGGGGCAGACUCUUUAGCAGGAUCUGUUGCGAUAGAACAAGAGGAAGUGUCUUCUAACUAAAAGAGGGGCUAUUUAGACUGGAUAUAAGGAAAAGGUUUUUUGCAAUAAGGGUGGUGAGGCACUGGCACAGGUUGCCCCAAAAGGUGGUGGAUGCCCCUCUCCGUGGGAUAGUCAAGGUCAGGCUGGACUGG